GGCGUCGUAGCUCAGUUGGCUAGAGCGUUGACUGACCUAAAGCCUUCCCCUUGCUAGCGUGGGUUCAAAUCCCACCGAGGCCG
rnacentral:tRNA from 1 species